NNNNNNNNNNNNNNNNNNNNNNNNNNNUCUGGAUGUGGGUGUCUGUGGGGGGAGGUCGGAGGCAGCGCCCGGCGGGGGGUGGGGGUGGACUGUGGGUUCCUGCCAGGGCUCCGCUCCCCGCGCGAUGCCGCCGCGGUCCCUUUAAGCGGCGCUCAGCCCCGCGGCCCCCACUUCUCCUCCCUCCCUCCCGAGAAAUUGGAGAAGCUGCCGCAGCGCCGGAGGGCCGCCCCACAUCCGUAGGAAGCGAAACUGCCCCUCAGCCCGAGCAGCAGCGGUGCAGGGCAGUUCGUGCCCCCCCGGCGCUGCAGACGGGCGCUGAGGACGCGGGAGGAGCCGCGGGGGUUUCAGCACCUCACUCGUGGGCGCUCCCCCCGCAGCCGCCGCGCCCCCCGAAGCGGCGGUCCCCAGGAGCCCCGUAUCCAACUCGGGACCCCCGGCGGCCCCUGUCCCCCAAACCGCCGGGGCUGCGCGCUCACUGGCGGGGCUGCGGGUUUGGGGUCCCGCCGUGCGCGGCGGUCUCGGGGGUCCCAGAGCCCCCCAGCGCUGCUCCGCCCCGUUCGCUUCGCUCCGCUCCCGUCGGGUCGGCCGCCGCUCCGCUUCCGCCCCUUCGUUACCCAGCAUCAUUCCUUCGGGGCCAUUUCUGCCACUUUUGGACAACUUCUGCCCGCGGGGACAUUGGGGACGCGCGGGGAACUGAGGACGUGGGGCAGCGCUGUGGGGCAGCUAUGGGGCAGAACUAUGGGGCAGUGCAGCAGGACAGCUAUGGGGCAGAUGCGGGGCAGCACCAUGGGGCAGCACCAUGGGGCAGAGUUAUGGGGCAGACCCAUUUGGCUUUUGCCCUUUUUUGGCUCUCUCGGCCCUUCCCCGCCCCCUCUCCCCACUUCCGCACCCCACGGCCGCGCGUGGGCUGUGGGUGUGGGGCAGCCCCCCCUGCUCCCCGCCAUGGGGCCAUGGGUGCUGCUGCUGCUCGGCGCAGGUCUGGGGCCGAACGCGGUGCUUUUGGGGCCGGGGGGGUGGGAGUGGGGGGUGUGGAGGAAGAGACCCCUGCGGGGAG
rnacentral:lncRNA from 1 species